GAUCUCUGCCCCGGGUGCGUCGCAGCCCCGGACCAAGGCGCCCGCCGGAGGACCAACCAAAACUCUUUUUGUAUACCCCCUCGCGGGUUUUUUUUAUAAUCUGAGCCUUCUCGGCGCCUCUCGUAGGCGUUUCGAAAAUGAAUCAAAACUUUCAACAACGGAUCUCUUGGUUCUGGCAUCGAUGAAGAACGCAGCGAAAUGCGAUAAGUAAUGUGAAUUGCAGAAUUCAGUGAAUCAUCGAAUCUUUGAACGCACAUUGCGCCCGCCAGUAUUCUGGCGGGCAUGCCUGUCCGAGCGUCAUUUCAACCCUCGAACCCCUCCGGGGGGUCGGCGUUGGGGAUCGGCCCUCCCUUAGCGGGUGGCCGUCUCCUAAAUACAGUGGCGGUCUCGCCGCAGCCUCUCCUGCGCAGUAGUUUGCACACUCGCAUCG
rnacentral:misc_RNA from 1 species